rnacentral:tRNA from 1 species
CAGGACGUAGCUAAGCUAGACCCAGCGCCUCACUUACACCGAGGAGACAUCCGUGCGAGUCGGAUCGCCCUGA